AGAAAUUUAGGGUAUAUAGACCAAGAGCCUUCAAGGCCCUAAGAAAGCAUAAUACACGCUUAAUUUCUG
rnacentral:tRNA from 1 species